rnacentral:lncRNA from 1 species
UUUUUUUUUGAUAGCUUCGUUGCAGCGAGAACGCCAAGGAUCGCUGCUCUGAUACCAAAUGAUAAGACCCUAAAGUCUUAUCGUCGCUCUGAUACCAAAUGAUAAGACCCUAAAGUCUUAUCGUAGGCUCUGAUACUAAAUGAUAAGACCUUAAAGGUCUUAUCGUCGCUCUGAUACCAAAUGAUAAGACCCUAAAGGUCUUAUCGUAGGC